UUAAGGCAGGAUCCUGCGAGCUCACGGAUCAGGCCCCUCUCUCGCUACCUGAGCCUCUCGACUCAGCCUUUGUCCCAGAGGACGCGCGAUGGAUCUGCCGGGCGCCUGGGCCUGCCGGCUUGCUGGAUGGGGUGGGGGAGCGGAGUGCAGGGAUGAUGCUGAGAACAAGGGAGCCGAGGAUGCCUCGGGGGUGGUCCCAGAAGAGCUCAUCAGCACCCCGAGAUCCGGGCAGGGGCGGCACGGAUCGCUACCCCACGUGGCGGGUGACCGGCCCCAGCUCGGAAGGCGCUGUCUCUCUUCCCCGGGGCCCGGGGGACAGCGCCCCGCUCCCUCGUGACGGCCGCCCAGGAGCGCCAGAGCCACGUGGGGGCGCGGUGGGACUUCCCCAGAAGCGGCGCCAACUUUGCCGCGCCUCUCCGGGCUCCCGAACCGGACUGCCGGGGAGCUAUAGAGGCUGCCUGGGGUCCGGCCGCCUCCCGCAGGCGUGAGACCUGCUGGCCAGCUCCCGCCCGUUUCCCCUAGCCAGCUCCUGCGCUCUCCGUUCCAUCAAUCGCCACACCCCAGCCCUUCCCUGGCCUCCAGUCGGGGCACACACCCUUAGCUCAGUCCUGCCGGGGGCUGCAGCAAAGUUUGAGGGGCAAGAGGGACAGUGCGGCCACUACGCCUUCAUCCCCUAGUUCGGGGCCCAACUCUGCUUGCUUCCCGGGAGAAUAAAGUAGGACGGGAAUGGGGAGAGGAGGCCAAAGACCGGGCAACCGGCAUGGGGCAGAGGCAGGGGUGGGUGGGCCGGGCAGAAUUCCGAGAGACCUUCAGAGGCUCAGCUUGGAGGGACAGCAACUGCUGCACGGGAGCCAGGGUCCGAGCACAGCCGCCUGGGGUAAGCGGCUGCGGCUCCCAGUGCGGGAAGAUCCAGUCUACAAGGGCAGAACUUUGAGGGAAUGAAAAGCUCCUCCGCUUCUACUCGAAUGACUGGUUCCUGCCCCACUUCGGGCAGCUAGUCCUCAGGAACCCACUGACUCCGAGAUCAGUAGCUCGGAGGACCAGCCUUCCUGGGCACUGGCCCUGGCUAACCCUGGGGCUAUUCUCCCCGGACUUCAAAGGCGGCAGGACAGCACAGCCUCUACGCCGGCCCCUCGAUUUUGGAGGUCACGGGGAGAAAUGGGCCGGGAACCGAGAAUGGCACAUUCCGCAGGCAGUGGGGGAUGGGGGAAGUGGGGGGAGGAGAUCCCAACUCCUCUUCCUGCCCCCCACCCAAUCUAAAGCCCAUUCAAGUCCAGCCCCUACCCUCCAGGAAGCUCGGCCCUGGAGCUAACCCGCUGGGGUCCCUACUUCCUCUGCUCCCCCUUUCUCCUCAUUCCCGGGAGAGGGGGGGAGGAUUGUCUCAGACAUGGUCUCUUAUGUGGACGUCAGCAGGUGCAGGUCUUUUCCAGGACCACUAUAUCUCCUCCUCCCACACGCACAUAGACACACUCAAGCCCCAGCCCGGAGAGUCUCCUAAAUGGACAAAGUGGUUGAUAUCACCCGGGCAGAAUGAACCUUUGCAGUUCAACAGAGGCAUUUGGGGAGACCCAACCCCAGACCUCCGCCAAGGUCCUGGGGAGGAGCGAGUGAAAGAGAGACCACUGGUCAGAACCCACCCCACCAGCCCCAUUUGAGCCUAGGGGAGGGGCCCUCCUCUCUGGGGCUGGGCACACCGAUAAGACCUUGCCGCUGUUACCUUGGCACUUGGGGACUUGUCUACGAAGCGCAAGUCUUUCUCCCUAAAGCCUAGAGAAUGGACUGGAGAGAGGCGCAGAAGGGGUGUGGGCUGAGUAAAGUGGGCGCACGCUGGGAUGUGUGGCGAAGACCGUGGGAGAAGGAGCCUGGGAGUCCUCAAAGUCAGGUUCUGUUCUAGCCUUCACGUGUGUGACCUUGGCCAAGUCAUUUGUCCCCCCUCCCACCCUAUUAACCCCAUUCGGUGCAUUCCUCUGUAAAAUGAGUUUGAAUUCGAUGACCUAUAAACUCCCUUUCAGCUCUGAUA